rnacentral:rRNA from 1 species
UGGGGAAUAUUGCACAAUGGGGGAAACCCUGAUGCAGCAACGCCGCGUGAGUGAUGAAGGCCUUCGGGUUGUAAAGCUCUGUCUUCGCUGACGAUAAUGACGGUAAGCGAGGAGGAAGCCACGGCUAACUACGUGCCAGCAGCCGCGGUAAUACGUAGGUGGCAAGCGUUGUCCGGAAUUACUGGGCGUAAAGGGUGCGUAGGCGGUUCAUUAAGUGGGAUGUGAAAUACCCGGGCUUAACCUGGGAACUGCAUUCCAAACUGGUGAGCUAGAGUGCAGGAGAGGAAAGUGGAAUUCCCAGUGUAGCGGUGAAAUGCGUAGAGAUUGGGAGGAACACCAGUGGCGAAGGCGACUUUCUGGACUGUAACUGACGCUGAUGCACGAAAGUGUGGGGAGCAAA